UUAAUAAUUUCUUAAUUUUACUCAGACACCAUCAAUUAUAAGAGUUUUUGUUGUGCUUCGGUAAACAUUACAGCCCACCGAAGCAACAUAAAAGCUUGGUGGUAUACAAGGGGUUGGAGGUUGGGCCAGAAGACCCUUACUCAGUAAUGAUCCUUCCGCAGGUUCACCUACGGAAA
rnacentral:misc_RNA from 1 species